UCAUCAUUUUCAUACCUGCUUGGGAAG
rnacentral:piRNA from 1 species